GAACGAAAGAGUUUGAUCCUGGCUCAGAUUGAACGCUGGCGGCAUGCUUUACACAUGCAAGUCGAAC
rnacentral:rRNA from 1 species